GCGCGGCCACGUCCUCGCAGCGGAAGGAGAGGUCGCCGUGCAGAGUGACCCCAGGGACACGCCUCUCCGCCAGGGCUGUGGGCGGCAGCCAAGCGGAUGUGGAGAACAGCGUGGCGGUGAGGUGAGGGGCUGAAGAGGGGCCGUUAGUCGAUGUCAGUGACGCCAGGCAGAAAACUAAUGGCUACUCCAUCCAUGAACAGCACUGUGCUUCGGGAAGAGGGAUUUCUCAGGACGGAUGUGGUGGACCUCUGUGAGAGAUGUGCCGCUGCUGCGACCACUGGAUUGCUGACCUGCGAGCUGCCAUGCUCUGCUGCCUGGAGUCUGGAUUGAGUAACG